GGUGCUCCAUAAGAAAACUGAUACCUUGCCAAGACUGCAACCUUGAGCUGAGAGUCCAAUCGAACGGUCAAAAAAGAGUUGCAGUUCUGAUAUUUCCUUUGAUUUUUUCAACUGGUAUCUUGUGGAAGCCACCCCCAUAAUCCCCCAAAAAAAACAGAAAAAAUAAUAAUCUACCUUUCCUUCCUCCUCUUUCAGGGCAUGAAGGGAACCGCAACACCUGUCUCUUUAUAUUGAAAUCUAGAGUUUCUUUUAGCAAAUUGCUAUAUUUCCUUCUUCAAACAUGUCUAAGAUCUUAUACACCCCACCAUCGUGAGGGGUAAAGCAACAAGAUUUCAGGUAUGCCACUUCUAUCAAUACCCUCAUCCACAAACUUAGAACACCCUUUUAACGUUUCCCUUCUAUAUUUCCCUUUCUAGCAUUAAAUUUUGUCAGCACUUUGGAAGCAUAGUUGAUGGUUUUGAUAUUGCUCUUAUUCCCAUCUUUUGCUGUUCUUUCUGUAGGGCGUAGUCUGUAUCAUAAUCAUUGCAGUAGGGAUUGUAUCAUCAGCCUUUGGAACCCACUCAGCACUCUCCAAAAUCAUUGAGAAUUUGAGCAGCUGAAAUUUUGGGUUGCUUCUGCAACAACAAUGGCAACUAGAGUUUCAUUUUAAGUAAUAAGUAGUUUAACUCCUUAUUCUCCACUCCAAUUCUGAGACGGUUCUGGUGUUAGUAUCUCCCUAUUCCCCUUUAGUUAACUUGCAAUUCUGUAUGAUUAUGGGCAGGUAAAAUUAUUAAUGGUUUACAGCAUGGUUAUUAAAAUUACAAGUUGAUUUUACGAGUUAAUAAAUUUUUAAUAUGUGAAAUCAUUUUAAAAACUCAAAAAUUAUUGAAAUCGAGUUAGGUGAAAUUGCAUAAAAUCAUGAUUUUGAAACUGUUUUUAUAAUUUCAUCAAGAAUUAUAUACUUCAGGCUCCAGCCCUCCAACUAUCUUAGUUGUACCUUAAAGACUAUACUUAUAAUAUGACAUGGCCAAGUAAAGAUGUAGAGACUAUACUUAAAAGUUAUAAAGAGUUUAAAGACUAUACUUAUAGCAUGACGUGGCGAAGCUGUAAAGACUAUAUUUAUAGCAUGACGUGGCCAAGUAAAGUUUUCAGAAUCACUCAUAUUAAUGGGUAUUUGGCAAUUGACAUGGUUUUUGUUUGUAUUUAUAGUUUUUGUUUAUCUAUAAAAACAUUAAUUAUAUACAGUUAAAUCUCUGUGAAUUAAUAUAUUUUGUAACAUGAAAAUUUAUUUAUUAAUCAAAAUAUUAAUUAAUCAAUAAAUUAUUAAUUAAUUUAUUAGUGUAUACAUUAUUUUAAAAAAAAAUUAUCAAGGUUUUUCUUUUUCAAAGCAUUAAAGUUAAUACAUGUAUCAUGUUAUUAUGAUUAUAAAAAUAUUAUAUAAUUACUAAAUUAUGAACUGUCAUUAUUUUAUAUAUUUAGUAAUAUAAGAAAACUAUACAUAAAUCCUUUCUAAUGCACUAAAAAAAGUAAAAAAAUGAGGUACAAGAAAACAUAAAUUUCAAGAGAAAAUAAUUAGCAUUAAAGUUAUAUCUUACAAAUACCUUCUACUUGAGUCAUUUAUAUGCAUAAGUUUAAUGUGUAAAGAGAUUAUUAAUUUAUAUAUCAAGUGGGAUCUAUGUUUUUAAUAUAUUAUCUUAUAAAUUUAACAAAUUAUUAAUUUAUUACAUUAGUCUCAAGUCAAGACCGAUAAAAAAAUAUUAUUUAAUCAAUAUUAUCAAUUUAAUCAAUAUUAAUUUAUCAAAAUUAUAAUGUAAUUAGUAAACAAAUAUCCAUAUCGCUAGCAUUAUCCAACAUCAGUCUAGAUCAAUCCUUUCCAUUAGCCAAAAAAAUCACUGUUUAUGGAUCGAACCUUUUGAGUAAAUUUUGGUACUGCUUUGGAAAAAGAAAAUGUUGGUCCUAUAUAUUGCUUUCCAAAGCAACUAAUUUUAAUACGGAUUUACCACUGUGUUUUUGGGCAAAUAGAUUUAAUUUAAAUUUUAAAGUCAUAAUUAAUUACCUUUAUUAUAUCAGUUAGCAGAUGUUGCGAUGAUUCAAUAAUUAAUUAAUUAUUAUCAGAAAAAAGGAUUUAAUUAGGAAUAUUUAUUUUCUCGUAAUGAAUCAACUUUUGUCUUUGAUGACAUCCUCGCAUGAUCCUGAAGUUAUACGAACAGAUACUUCUUUUUAAAACCCACUAAUUAACCUUCAAAAGAAGCUCUUUACAUGGAAAAUUACAUCGAUCCUGGAUUUUCGUAAUAGAUUUUGGAAGAGGGGAUAUCUGAAAAUGUAAAUUAUGGUGUCAUUGACUAAUUUGUAUAUUUUUAAUUAAUUAUUAUCAAUAUACAAGAGAUGCAACGUAUCUCAUGAAAGCUCAAUUAAUAAUUUAUUCAAAGUCUAAGACAAGAGAUUUAGGCCGUAAAAGCACUCAUAAUUAUUAAUAGCACAGAAAAUCACAGCAUUGCAGAUUAAUGCAAAAAUGCAGGUGACAUCUUGUAUUAUUAUUAUUAUUAUUAUUAUCAUCAUCCUUACUAGUAUUACUAAACUAGCUUGUAUUAGGUCAAGCAAGCGAAAUGAGGCAGUAAUGCCUCUCCUUUACAAAAGAAGCCGUCUUUCCAUUAACCUGUCACACAAGGCAUUGAUAUGAGCAUUUGCUGAGGAGAAAAGGACCAGUUGUUGCAAUAGCACAUGUGAUAGUUUGCGGAGGAGUGUUCUUGAUUACAAAAAAUACGUUUGCAAUAUUUAGGGCAAUGGGGUAUACAGACAUCAUCGUUCGCACAUGGCAUGCCCUUCAUUGCUGUGAUCUCUGUAGCUUGAACUGAUCCUUGCUGUAGGAAACCUGUCAAUAAAUUUUUGUUUAUUUAUCAGUCAUGAGCUAUCACUUCUGUACAUAUUGUCAAAGUGUAUGGAAAAUGAUAAAAUAUAUUAAGUAAAAGGAAACUUUAUUUUAAUUUGUGUAUCAUAAUUCUCAAAAACUCUCAGUCUUACAAAUUAAGCAGAAGAGAAAAGAAGACAAAAAAAAUAGGGAAAAAAAUACGAGAGAGGGAGAGACUCACAAGCUGUAGAAAAUAUCAAAAUAAUUAGGAAUGCCAACUUAAAAGAAGCUUUCUCCAUCCUUCUUCCUUUGUUUUUUUCUUCUUUUCUUUCUUUCGUAGUAGAGUGCUUAUUGAGAAAAAAUAAUAUCUCUCUGUGUGUUUUCACGAUAUAGAGAAAUAACGAGUGGUAUUUAUAAUAGAGUAGACUAAUCACUGAAGUUCGUGAAUAUAUAUAUAUAAGGUUGUCUAUUUUUGGAUUCAAGUUCUAUAAAUAUAAUCGCUAAUUAUGGAACAUAUAUCAAGUCAAGAUUAAAUCAAGAAAUUUUGAUAAUUGAAGAUUGUAAUUAUUCCUUUAUUAAAGGAUAUUUUGAUCGAAUUCUAUCAAUACAAUUACUAAUCAUGAAGAAAAUUAAAAACCACGUCAAAAGAUAAAAUCAAUACAAUCACAUUAAUUAAGAAAAACAUAACUAAGAUUUUUUUUUUAAUUUAAGGAUUUUUUUAUAAUUAAUUCGGUGAUUUUUUAGAGAAAAUAUAAUAUAAAGUGAGAUACUAUAAAAUAAAUAUACAGUAAUAACAAAGAUCUCGAAUCCUUUGUUUAAAAGAUUCAUGGUAUAUUUAUAAUUUAUGAGUUUUUUUAUAAAGAUGAGUAACUAAAAGUAAUAUUAUCAUGAUAAUAUUAAAAAAUAUUACAUUUGUAUUAUAUUAAUGGGAAAUAUUUAUAUAUGUUUAAUAUGCAUGGAAUAUGUAAGCAUUUAAAGGAUAUAAAAAUAUGGUGAAUUUUUAGAAAAUAUUUAUACACCUAAUAAUAUAGAAAAAGUAAGAUCUAAAAUAUAGUAUAAUGUAUAUCGGGUUAUCGUUUAAAAAUUUUGUUUUUUAAGAUAUUAAUCAUUUAACAGUAUUAAUAAAAAUAAAUUUAUUCUGAUUAAUUUGAUAAUAUCCAAUAAAUUUCAUGAAAAAAUGAUAUUACCUCAAUAACAAGUUUUGUUGAUUUUGUUUUAGAAUAGCAAAAUUCUAAUACAAAGGGCAAUGUCUCUGUAAUUACAAUGUUUUACUGAUGUGUUUUAAUUUUUCUUUUUUAUUUUAAUAAUAAGUUAUCAUGCAUCAAUACAAUACUACCCUCUCUUUCGGUGCUCCAUAAGAAAACUGAUACCUUGCCAAGACUGCAACCUUGAGCUGAGAGUCCAAUCGAACGGUCAAAAAAGAGUUGCAGUUCUGAUAUUUCCUUUGAUUUUUUCAACUGGUAUCUUGUGGAAGCCACCCCCAUAAUCCCCCAAAAAAAACAGAAAAAAUAAUAAUCUACCUUUCCUUCCUCCUCUUUCAGGGCAUGAAGGGAACCGCAACACCUGUCUCUUUAUAUUGAAAUCUAGAGUUUCUUUUAGCAAAUUGCUAUAUUUCCUUCUUCAAACAUGUCUAAGAUCUUACACACCCCACCAUCUCUCAGAUUUCUGUCUUCAAACUCAAUACCACGUGACCCAUCACGUGAAUUGU
rnacentral:lncRNA from 1 species